UACGUAGGGAGCGAGCGUUGUCCGGAAUUACUGGGUGUAAAGGGAGCGUAGGCGGGAUCGCAAGUUGGAUGUCUAAUCUAUCGGCUCAACUGGUAGUCGCAUUCAAAACUGUGAUUCUUGAGUGGAGUAGAGGCAGGCGGAAUUCCUAGUGUAGCGGUGAAAUGCGUAGAUAUUAGGAGGAACACCAGUGGCGAAGGCGGCCUGCUGGGCUUUUACUGACGCUGAGGCUCGAAAGUGUGGGGAGCAAACAGG
rnacentral:rRNA from 1 species